rnacentral:rRNA from 1 species
ACGGGAGGCAGCAGUGGGGAAUAUUGGGCAAUGGGCGAAAGCCUGACCCAGCAACGCCGCGUGAAGGAAGAAGAUCUUCGGAUUGUAAACUUCUUUUAUGAGGGACGAAGGACGUGACGGUACCUCAUGAAUAAGCCACGGCUAACUACGUGCCAGCAGCCGCGGUAAUACGUAGGUGGCGAGCGUUAUCCGGAUUUACUGGGUGUAAAGGGCGCGUAGGCGGGGUGACAAGUCAGAUGUGAAAUCUAUGGGCUCAACUCAUAAACUGCAUUUGAAACUGCCACUCUUGAGUGCUGGAGAGGUAGACGGAAUUCCUUGUGUAGCGGUGAAAUGCGUAGAUAUAAGGAAGAACACCAGUGGCGAAGGCGGUCUACUGGACAGUAACUGACGCUGAGGCGCGAAAGCGUGGGGAGCAAACAGGAUUAGAUACCCUGGUA